GAUGAACGCUGGCGGCGUGCUUAACACAUGCAAGUCGAACGGAAAGGCUCCUGCUUGCAGGGGUACUCGAGUGGCGAACGGGUGAGUAACACGUGGGUGAUCUGCCCUGCACUUCGGGAUAAGCCUGGGAAACUGGGUCUAAUACCGGAUAGGACGAUGGUUUGGAUGCCAUUGUGGAAAGUUUUUCGGUGUGGGAUGAGCUCGCGGCCUAUCAGCUUGUUGGUGGGGUAAUGGCCUACCAAGGCGUCGACGGGUAGCCGGCCUGAGAGGGUGUACGGCCACAUUGGGACUGAGAUACGGCCCAGACUCCUACGGGAGGCAGCAGUGGGGAAUAUUGCACAAUGGGCGCAAGCCUGACGCAGCGACGCCGCGUGGGGGAUGACGGCCUUCGGGUUGUAAACUCCUUUCGCUAGGGACGAAGCGCAAGUGACGGUACCUGGAGAAGAAGCACCGGCUAACUACGUG
rnacentral:rRNA from 1 species